rnacentral:tRNA from 1 species
GUUUUAAUAGUUUAAAUAAAACCUUGGUCUUGUAAAUCAAUAAUGAGGACUUUCUCUUAAAACU